rnacentral:rRNA from 1 species
UAAGAGAGUUUGAUCCUGGCUCAGGAUGAACGCUGGCGGUAUGCCUAACACAUGCAAGUCGUACGAGAGUUUUUAUUAACUCUAGUGGCGGACGGGUGAGUAACACGUGAGAAUUUGCCUUUAGGAGGGGGAUAACAAUCGGAAACGAAUGCUAAUACCCCAUAUGCUUUUGAGUGAAAUGGAUUUAUAUUUAUCCGCCUAAAGAGAAGCUCGCGGCUGAUUAGCUUGUUGGUAAGGUAAGAGCUUACCAAGGCGACGAUCAGUAUCUGGUUUGAGAGGACGAUCAGACACACUGGAACUGAGACACGGUCCAGACUCCUACGGGAGGCAGCAGUGGGGAAUAUUGGACAAUGGGGGGAACCCUGAUCCAGCCAUGCCGCGUGUGUGAAGAAGGCCUUUUGGUUGUAAAGCACUUUAAGCAGUGAAGAAGAC